CUUGCCCAUAUUUGUGGGAUCUCAGAAUAUCUUUUGCAAUCAAAAUGUUUGAAGCUAAGGAAUCAAGAUGCCGAGAGAUUGCAGAGAUGUGUUAAGUUUUCUACUGAUACUGUUGUUGCGAAUAUAUUUCCUUUGGAUUGGAGGAAUUCAUUGAGUGAGAAUAUGAUUGCUCUUAGAAGAACUGAUGCUUUAAAGAAUGCGCUGAAACAAGUAAUAGUCGAGUAUACCAGCUCAAAGAAGGUGCUGUCUUUUGGGCAGAUUGGAAGGCUUGCAAUGGUUAUUCUCGGGUCCGGUAAGCUGAAUAAUAGUGAACUAUACGAGAAGCUUGUGAUAAAACUGGACUUCCACCAGCCAUGGAAGGCUUUCAUUGAGAAUCUAUGUGGGAAUAUUGGCCCUGGAAACACCAGUGAAGAACCGAGAGAGGUGUCUAUAAUGUUGAAGUUGUAUGGAGCUUUAGUUGAUAUUUAUAAUGCGAACUGGAGGGCGGUUCGUGAUUACAUAUCACCUGGUUGCUUUUUGUACCUUGUAGAGCGCCUUCUGAUUUGGGCAACUUGCUUUCAGGGUUAUGCUAUCACUACAAGUUCUUGCUUUGUUGAGUGGCUCAUAUACCAAGAGGAAGAUACCAACUUGAGUUCCAUGGUUGGUGUUGGUGAUGCGCUACCAUCUUUAAUUGACAUCAGUCGUUUUGUGAUUUAUGUGGUUCGGGAGUGUGUUUUUAAUAAGGCGGAUAUGGUUGAAUGGAUUAAAAAGACCAACGCAGAUUGGAACAACUAUCAUUCUCAACUCAUGUUGCGAUUUGUUGUCGUGUUAUGCUUGGUUUAUUUAAAUUUUGGCAUGGGUCUAGAUGAACUCUAUGAUUUGCUGGGAAGGGACUAUAUCACUGAGCAGCUGCCGUGGGAAUUUUUUGACGCCCUUAAGAGACGGAGGAGACACAAAACUCUUAAUAUAAAUGUGAAGCUGCUAGCUGCAGCUUUUCAGAAGAUUGGUAAUACUUUGGUAAUUGCAAGUUUCGGGUCAGAUUGUUCAAGGUUCUUAUGUUCAGAUGUCAUCUUUGUUGACAUGAAGGCCAACCAUUCCAGGGAUUACAUACUGAGAAAAUUGAUUCCUAAACAACCACCUGUCCUACAAGUUUCCCAAGCUACAUCUGUUGAAGCAGCAGGCGAUAAUUCAUGUCAUCUUAGUUGACAUCCAACUCUGGUGCGGUGGAACCUUCAGAGACUGGUGCUGCAUCUGAUUAGACGAGUGAUGAUGUGGCCGGUGGCAGAGACAACCACAAUACAGGUGAGGAAAGUUGCAUAUCCAAAGAGUCAAUUCCAAAGUCUAAGCAAGCAGAGGAUGUGGCUUCUGGAUCCCAAUGUGGCAGUAAUGAAACUGGAAACAAGGGGAAGAAAAAGGGCAAGAACAAGAAACCCAAGAAGAAAGGAGGCAAAAAGUUGCCAUCACAUUUUAAUAUAUUAUAAUUAUAUAUUUGCUACGUGAAUGAAUCUUGUUAUGUAUGAACUUGAUGUUGUGAUGUCAUGUUAUGUUAGUGAUGAUUCCUGGAUUAUGCAUGGGCUUAAUGCAGAGCCAGGUACGAAUCACACUUAAGGAUCUUCAGGUCUUGAUAUAGUUGUAUAAUGAGAAUCAAGGAAUUUCUGGU
rnacentral:lncRNA from 1 species